AUGACCAGAGUUCCGCGAGGAUAUAUAGCCCGGAGACGACGAACAAAAAUGCGUUCAUUUGCCUCAAACUUUAGAGGGGCUCAUUUAAGACUUAAUCGAAUGAUUACCCAACAGGUAAAAAGAGCUUUUGUUUCCUCUCAUCGAGAUAGAGGUAGGCAAAAGAGGGAUUUUCGUCGUUUGUGGAUCACUCGGAUAAACGCAGCAACGCGGGUAUAUAAAGUAUUCGAUAGUUAUAGUAAAUUAAUACACAACCUGUACAAGAAGAAAUUGAUUCUUAAUCGUAAAAUGCUUGCACAAGUAGCUGUAUCAAAUCCAAAUAAUCUUUACACGAUUUCCAAUAAAAUAAAGAUCAUCAAUUAA
rnacentral:rRNA from 1 species